rnacentral:rRNA from 1 species
GGGGGGAAUGGCGCUGUAUAGGGCAUGCAGUCGAGGGAUCGGAUCGGUGCUUGCAUCGAUUACGGACCGGCAAACGGGUGAGUAACACAUUGGUAACCUACCUCCGAGACAAGGAUAGCCCACCGAAAGGUGGAUUAAUACUUGAUAGCCAUAACAGUAUAAUGCUUGUUAUGUAAAACUCCGGUGCUUGGAGAGGGGCCUAUGUCUGAUUAGCUAGUUGGUGGGGUAAUGGCCCACCAAGGCGAUGAUCAGUAGCAGGCGUGAGAGCGUGACCUGCCUCACUGGGACUGAGACACUGCCCAGACUCCUACGGGAGGCUGCAGUCAAGAAUCUUCCACAAUGGCCGAAAGGCUGAUGGAGCAAUGCCGCGUGCAGGAAGACGCCUUUCGGGGUGUAAACUGCUUUUAUAUGGGAAGAAUUUGUGACGGUACCAUAUGAAUAAGAGGUUGCUAACUCUGUGCCAGCAGCAGCGGUAAUACAGAGACCUCAAGCGUUAUCCGGAUUCAUUGGGCGUAAAGCGUCCGCAGGUUGUUAUAUAAG